rnacentral:lncRNA from 1 species
GUACAUUCUCUGAUAACAUCAGAAACUUGAAAACCAAUAAAUAGAGAUGAGGGGAUUGAGCAUUGUUUGACAAAAUCGUCGCUACAUUUUAAUUGCAAUAGAACACAAGAGUAUAGGAGCUUCACUUCUACGUUUACAUAUGGUUCAAGAGAGUCAAAGGAUAGUAAACAUUCAAUUUCAUUAGCAGAUUAAAGGAAUUCCAUCCCAAAGAUUCAGUCAUUGGCAGCUGUUCAUAACUCAAAUGAAAAAAGCUAUUAAGCAAACAAACAGAAAAUGAUGCACAACAGAACAUAUGACUGAGUAUUGUUCAUUGUCCAGUUUAUCUCUUUUAUUUUCAAACAAUUAAUUGAUCUCACAGAUUGAAUUACUAUUUAUAAAUGAACCCAUCUUCAGAACAUUGAAAAAAUUUAAAGGGAAUUCAUUUUUCUUGAAGAUUCAGAGAAAUUGUUGAAGAAAAAGUAUGUUUAAGAAACAAAAACUCACUUGUAACGCCACAGUGGUAGCAAGGUCCAUGCUUUCCCAUGUCUCCCUAGUUCUUUUUUUCUCCUUUAUUUAAAAAAUAUUAAUUUCUAGAUAAUUUCAACGGAAAAAGCCACUAAAAACAAUUUACUGGAGAAAAAGCCUUUAUGAAACAAAAAUGUACAAGAAAUAUACAGGUUCAGUUUUUCUUAUAGCCCUUUUAGAGCAUAUAGACCACUGUGUUUGUAUGGUGGAUUUUCAGCAAUAAACCCAGAGAAAAUUCUACAGAAAAAAUUCAAAAUAAUAAUAAUAACCCAAGAACAUCUUAAUAUGUAUCUCAGAAUCUAAAAAGAACCAUUAAGACAGCAGAAAUUUCGACAAAUAUUGAAGAAGGAAAAAGAUAGGUUUUCAGCUGAGAAUCUUUAAAUUACAAUCCAAUAAAAAUUUAACAAAGAAAAUGAUGGAAGGAGUCUUAUUAAUUGGUUGGGAGAGGAAGAUGAAAGGUGGGUUGUUUUAUGUAAUGUGAACUCUUCCAUUAUUUAUUGUACAUCAAGAAAAUGUUUCAACUUUUCUUGGUUAGUUUACAUUAUUUUAUCUUAUUUGUUUAUCUUUUUCAAUUCCCUUUUCA